rnacentral:misc_RNA from 1 species
GAUGAAGAACGUAGCGAAAUGCGAUAAGUAGUGAGAAUUGCAGAAUUCAGUGAAUCAUCGAGUCUUUGAACGCACAUUGCGCCCCCUGGUAUUCCGGGGGGCAUGCCUGUCCGAGCGUCAUUGCUGCCCUCAAGCACGGCUUGUGUGUUGGGCCUCCGUCCUCCUCCCGGGGGACGGGCCCGAAAGGCAGCGGCGGCACCGCGUCCGGUCCUCGAGCGUAUGGGGCUUCGUCACCCGCUCUUGUAGGCCCGGCCGGCGCUUGCCGACACAUCAAUCUUUUUUCCAGGUUGACCUCGGAUCAGGUAGGGAUACCCGCUGAACUUAAGCAUAUCAAUAAGCGGAGGA